GUUGGUGGCUAUAGCUGAGGGGAUCACCUCUUCCCAUUCCGAACAGAGAAGUUAAGCCCUCACGCGCCGAUGGUACUGCCCAAACAGGUGGGAGAGUAGGUCGCUGCCAACU
rnacentral:rRNA from 1 species